UACGAAGGGGGCUAGCGUUGUUCGGAUUUACUGGGCGUAAAGCGCGUGUCGGCGGGUCGUUAAGUUGGGGGUGAAAUCCCGAGGCUCAACCUCGGAACUGCCUUCAAAACUGGCGACCUGGACUCAAGCAGAGGCAAGUGGAAUUGCGAGUGUAGAGGUGAAAUUCGUAGAUAUUCGCGGGAACACCAGUGGCGAAGGCGACUUGCUGGGCUUGUAGUGACGCUGAGACGCGAAAGCGUGGGGAGCAAACAGG
rnacentral:rRNA from 1 species